rnacentral:lncRNA from 9 species
ACGGCAGAUUUAACAGAUGUGUAGGGAAGCUCUAGAGACGUUUCUUACAAAGUUUCGUCUGGUUUCAGGGAGGGGAUCCCCCCCGCCACCGCCCCAGUCACACCAUUUCAAUGUCUUACCGGUGGGUAGGAUUAAGAAAGUUAACCUAAGGGAUGCCUGUGUCUUUCAUGGGACCACUUACCCAGCACCGGGAGAGAAACCAACGCCUGCUCUGACUGACUGCAUUGGUUAACUCACUUCCCAGGUGAAUGGGAAGGACGGAGCCACUGGUGGUCAUUAAGGCUGCUCAGGCUUUGGAAAGACUCCCAGCCCUGACUCCGGCUGCCCAGCAUCCUUAGCAAAAAUCAUAGACCGAAAAAAAAUCAGGGUGACUGGGGAGGAGGUUACCUCUUCUGAAGACGUAUUCCCUCCCCAUUCUGUGUAAUUAAGACAAAACCCUAGGUUGUUCAUUGAAAAGCCCACGGCGAUAGGCUUCAGUGUUUAAUUAUGACAUUCAUCACCAAUUGCCUUUGACGGAGAGAAAUUCGGCCAUAUUUCUGGAGGCGACUAAAGCCCAAGGUUAUAUUAAACAAGGCUGCUGGACUAGCAGAGAACAGCAUGCACUCUGGCUGGGGCGGUUCGUUAAAGAGGUCUCCCUGCAGCUUGACAGCGGGGCCCUGCCCUGUGGCAGCCACAGCGAGAGGGGUGGCCCCUGCGUUGCCUGCGCACAGCGCUGUGUGUGUCCGCAGGAUGGAGGAGUAAAUGGGGACUCCUGCUUCUGAUAAAGCCGGCAAGGAAAGAGGCUUCCAAAGGUAGGAUGUUCGCAUUUCCUUCUUCUCUUCUCUUUACAGGGGCCAAGGGGGGAGAGGAAAACACAAAAUUAAAUUUCCAAAAUAGAAUAAUGGUCUGCACAUUGACAUUCUCAGAGGGCUUUGAUGAUUUUCUGAAAGAGAAAGAACGCUUCUUUUAUUGACAUUAAAUCCAAAAAUGAGUUGUAGUAUUUUAUCACACUGGAACGGCUUCCUGUGAAUUCACACCUUGCCUUAUGUGGACUUUUAUUAUUUCAUUAUUAUAUUACUUGGUUCGAUUUUAAGGAAGAAGAAUUUUUACAUGAAUAUUACCCUUUAAACUGUGAUUAUUCCUCUUCAGAGAAGUUUUGAAGCUAGGGAUAAUUAUUUCCUUGUUUCCCAAAGCACUUAUGGAGAUCCUGUGUCAGGUUAUGUGCAUUUGCAAACUUUGAGGUUUUGUGCUUGUCCUUGUUACGUAGAGUGUAUAUAAUUCCAUAAGUACUUUGAGGAGUUCCUUUAGCUCAUUUAGUAAUGUUUCCAAAAAGCGUUAUGUUAGGUAUAGAGAGCAGUUUUAACAAACUGAACUUAUUAUGGAACAUCUCAACCUUAUAUUAUAAAUACCAUAGUGGGUUAGGAUCAGUUUAUUCAGUUAUUUUAGUGUAACAGUUAGCCUAACACAAGG